rnacentral:rRNA from 1 species
UACGGAGGGGACUAGCGUUGUUCGGAAUUACUGGGCGUAAAGCGCACGUAGGCGGAUUUGUAAGUCAGGGGUGAAAUCCCGGGGCUCAACCUCGGAACUGCCUUUGAUACUGCAAAUCUCGAGUCCGGAAGAGGUGAGUGGAAUUCCUAGUGUAGAGGUGAAAUGCGUAGAUAUCUGGAGGAACACCGGUGGCGAAGGCGGCAUCCUGGACCGGUAUUGACGCUGAGGCGCGAAAGCCAGGGGAGCAAACGGG